GAUGAACGCUGGCGGCGUGCUUAACACAUGCAAGUCGAACGAAGCAUUUGCGACAGAUUUUUUCGGAAUGAAGUUGCUUAUGACUGAGUGGCGGACGGGUGAGUAACGCGUGGGUAACCUGCCUUGUACUGGGGGAUAGCAGCUGGAAACGGCUGGUAAUACCGCAUAAGCGCACAAUGUUGCAUGACAUGGUGUGAAAAACUCCGGUGGUAUAAGAUGGACCCGCGUCUGAUUAGCUAGUGGGUGAGAUAACAGCCCACCAAGGCGACGAUCAGUAGCCGACAUGAGAGGGUGACCGGCCACAUUGAGACUGAGACACGGCCCAGACUCCUACGGGAGGCAGCAGUGGGGAAUAUUGCACAAUGGAGGAAACUCUGAUGCAGCGACGACGCGUGAGUGAAGAAGUAAUUCGUUAUGUAAAGCUCUAUCAGCAGGGAAGAUAGUGACGGUACCUGACUAAGAAGCUCCGGCUAAAUACGUG
rnacentral:rRNA from 1 species